UAAUAAUUAACACAUGGAAUGGGGUACCA
rnacentral:piRNA from 1 species